GCGAACGGGAUUAGAUACCCUGGUAGUCCACGCUGUAAACGAUGUCGAUUUGGAGGUUGUGCCCUUGAGGCGUGGCUUCCGGAGCUAACGCGUUAAAUCGACCGCCUGGGGAGUACGGCCGCAAGGUUAAAACUCAAAUGAAUUGACGGGGGCCCGCACAAGCGGUGGAGCAUGUGGUUUAAUUCGAUGCAACGCGAAGAACCUUACCUACUCUUGACAUCCAGAGAACUUUCCAGAGAUGGAUUGGUGCCUUCGGGAACUCUGAGACAGGUGCUGCAUGGCUGUCGUCAGCUCGUGUUGUGAAAUGUUGGGUUAAGUCCCGCAACGAGCGCAACCCUUAUCCUUUGUUGCCAGCGGUUCGGCCGGGAACUCAAAGGAGACUGCCAGUGAUAAACUGGAGGAAGGUGGGGAUGACGUCAAGUCAUCAUGGCCCUUACGAGUAGGGCUACACACGUGCUACAAUGGCAUAUACAAAGAGAAGCGACCUCGCGAGAGCAAGCGGACCUCAUAAAGUAUGUCGUAGUCCGGAUUGGAGUCUGCAACUCGACUCCAUGAAGUCGGAAUCGCUAGUAAUCGUAGAUCAGAAUGCUACGGUGAAUACGUUCCCGGGCCUUGUACACACCGCCCGUCACACCAUGGGAGUGGGUUGCAAAAGAAGUAGGUAGCUUAACCUUCGGGAGGGCGCUUACCACUUUGUGAUUCAUGACUGGGGUGAAGUCGUAACAAGGUACCAAGGGCGAA
rnacentral:rRNA from 1 species